rnacentral:rRNA from 1 species
AGAAUCAACGCUGGCGGCGUGCCUAACACAUGCAAGUCGCACGAGAAAGUGGAGCAAUCCAUGAGUAAAGUGGCGCACGGGUGAGUAACACGUGAAUCAUCUACCUCCGAGUGGGGAAUAACCUAGAGAAAUCUGGGCUAAUACCGCAUAACACUUACGAGUCAAAGCAGCAAUGCGCUUGGAGAGGAGUUCGCGGCCGAUUAGCUAGUUGGCGGGGUAAUGGCCCACCAAGGCGAUGAUCGGUAUCCGGCCUGAGAGGGCGCACGGACACACUGGAACUGAAACACGGUCCAGACUCCUACGGGAGGCAGCAGUGGGGAAUUUUGCGCAAUGGGGGAAACCCUGACGCAGCAACGCCGCGUGGAGGAUGAAAUCCCUUGGGAUGUAAACUCCUUUCGAUAGGGAAGAUUAUGACGGUACCUAUAGAAGAAGCCCCGGCUAACUUCGUGCCAGCAGCCGCGGUAAUACGAGGGGGGCGAGCGUUGUUCGGAAUUAUUGGGCGUAAAGGGUGCGUAGGCGGUUUGGCAAGUCUUAUGUGAAAUCUAUGGGCUCAACCCAUAGUCUGCAUGAGAAACUGCCGGGCUUGAGUAUGGGAGAGGUGAGUGGAAUUUCCGGUGUAGCGGUGAAAUGCGUAGAUAUCGGAAGGAACACCUGUGGCGAAAGCGGCUCACUGGACCAUAACUGACGCUGAGGCACGAAAGCUAGGGGAGCAAACAGGAUUAGAUACCCUGGUAGUCCUAGCCCUAAACGAUGAUUGCUUGAUGUGGCAGGUACCCAAUCCUGCCGUGUCGAAGCUAACGCGAUAAGCAAUCCGCCUGGGGAGUACGGUCGCAAGGCUGAA